AGGGCUUUCUAUAGAUGAUUUGUGUUUUGGCUUGUGCCUCCCUUAUGGUAGUUAUUUAUGGUAGUUACUGUAUGAUAUUAUUGCAUGCUAUUUUAUUUAUGUUUCUUAUGUUUAGUUAAUUAUUUACGCUAUUUCUACUGGAGUUACUAAUGCUCUUUUGUUUUUGUUGUUCUUUUCCUUCACUGAGCCGAGGGUCGAUUGGAAACAGCCUCUCUACCCUUUCGGGUAGGGGUAAGGCUCGUCUACAUAUUANNN
rnacentral:lncRNA from 1 species